rnacentral:lncRNA from 1 species
GCAGCUGGAGGUCCAAGUUGGCAGAGUUGGAACUAGACAAGGAUGGGAAACGGAGAGGUGGGUGCUACAGGAGGACCUGCUUCCACCUGGUUCCGAGCUGUGUUCUCUGGAUGUCUCAGAGUUGACAGAGCUCACGCGGCAGACAGUGGGAGCCCAGGCCAGGGCAGAGGUGGGAGAAGGGAGGCCGGGGACAACCUGGAAAGAUAGAUACUGGAGAGAAGGCUGGCAGGGCUGGGGAGAUGGGGGUCAUGAUGGGAGUGCCUGGGACACCAGGAAUAGGGUCUCCAGAGCGGGAAGCAGUGUAAGAAGGAAGAGCAGGCCGGUGAUCCUUCCUGACAUAAUUUUUGGCUAUAAUUUGGGUAAUAACAGCUCCCAUUGGUGGAGCAUCUACUCUGUGCAGGACCCAUUACCAAUAGCAGUUUAUUUAAUCACACACUGCGAGGUAGCUAUUGGUAUUCCCCACUGACGGAUGAGAAAACAGGGGCUCCCAGACGCCAUGUGGCUCACCCCGGGCCACAGAGCCAGUAAGAGGCACAGUCUGGCUCAGAGGCUUGAAAGCCGGUGACCCAGCCCUGCACCACAGCAGAACAGCGACAGCAGCAUCCUCCACAGAAACGCCCAGCUCCUCGUUCCUCUCCCCUCAUCCCUGGGGUUGACUUCUCCCCAGGCCUUAGGCCUCACCUAGACAUCCAGGGGCCACAGGGCAUGGCGAUAAUUGCCAUUACCCCAAUUUCUUAGGGGCAUUUUUUAAAGACAAUCACAGACUAAAACUCAAAGGGAUGCAUUUCAAUGGCAGAUUCACAGGCCCUGAAACUGUUAAUAGAGGAAGUAAUCCUGAACAGGGGGCUUUUAAUGUCAUUCUCUCUACAAGUCAAAAUGUCUUCCAGGCUGAGGUACGAGCGGCUUUCAGGAUGCCAGGGGCUGGCUCUAACAAGGGCUCAUCUCCCCGGGGAGGCUGGCCAAGGAGGAUAAAGUCCCAACACUCAGCAUGCUGACCCCAGGCGCCUCACAGCAGAAGGCAGCUCCCAAUAAGGGAAGUCACAGCUGGGCUGUUAACAGGAUAACAUUUGCCAAGCAAGAAGAAAAAUUUGUUCCUAAACCUAAUUUCCAGUGAAUUUUUUUUCUAUCCUCUUUUGAUAGACGAGCAGCCUCUGAAGUAGAGAUUAUAUAAAAAUCCAUUUGCAGUGACAUCUACCUAAACAUUAUAGACUCUUCUGGGGGUUCAUGCCCAUUAGUGGGUGAUAAGGCUUAAGCUACAACAUACCCAAAUCCACAUACCGGACUGGAAGGACUUCCUGAGAAAACCAAGCAGUGUACAUGUGCCCGCUGAGGCUGCUUAUUUCAGGUGGUAUUUAAUGCCACAAAAGUAGGCAGGAAGGGUCUAGAAGCUCCCUGGGAACCCCUGCAGAGUAGGCUGGGCCUGUGCUUAUAAAUGAAACACAGGCUUGGGAGCCUGGUGACACCAGCUUGACUCUCACCUCUGCCAACGCUAGCUGUGUUUCCUUGGGCAAACCCAACUUCUUAUCAUUCGGCAGCACCCAUUCACGGUCAACACAUCUCUGUUCAGGGAGACUUCUAUACAAUCAGUGACUCUCAAAGUGAAGAGUGCCGACCACCCGCUUAACCCCGGGACACCUGUUAACACGCAGAUUCCACAGCUUUACCCCACUUCUACUGCGUCUCGUCCUCUGGGAACCAGGCCUCCAGAUCACGUCAGGCUCGCGCACUCAGCCUGUACCCUAUACCUGGGGCUGGUGUGGGGACACGGAGCAGCUGCAGAGGAACCUCCGAGACUAUGCUGCUAUGGCUCUGCGGGCAGCUUUGCCUCAAACCUCAAAAUCAUGAUCCUCUUGGAGGUGGCACCCCCAGGGACAGCGGCUUCUGCUCCGGGCUGUGUGAGCGCUGGGGGACCUUGGUUACGGACUCGCACUGGGUGAGUAAAGUGCUCUGUAACAUACAAGCCACCUCUUCCUGGCUUUUGUCCCUCGUAUCUCAUUAGACAAGCCAGCUUCAGGAAAGGGACGCGUUCUUCCGGGUGGGGGCCGCGUGGCCGCCACCCAGCAGCGGAGCCGUGACUCAGCUCGGCGGGCUCGUGCCCAGGCCAGGGCUGCGCGG